rnacentral:rRNA from 1 species
UACGUAGGGUGCAGGCGUUAAUCGGAAUUACUGGGCGUAAAGCGUGCGCAGGCGGUCUUUUAAGUCAGAUGUGAAAUCCCCGGGCUUAACCUGGGAACUGCGUUUGAAACUGGAAGGCUUGAGUGUGGCAGAGGGGGGUGGAAUUCCACGUGUAGCAGCGAAAUGCGUAGAGAUGUGGAGGAACACCGAUGGCGAAGGCAGCCCCCUGGGCUAACACUGACGCUCAUGCACGAAAGCGUGGGGAGCAAACAGG